rnacentral:rRNA from 1 species
AGCGAACGCUGGCGGCAGGCCUAACACAUGCAAGUCGAACGAACCUUUCGGGGUUAUUGGCGGACGGGUGAGUAACACGUGGGAACGUUCCUUUAGGGUCGGAAUAACUCAGGGAAACGUGUGCUAAUACCGAAUGUGCCCUUCUGGGGAAAGAUUAAUCGCCUUUAGAGCGGCACGCGUCUGAUUAGCUAUUUGGUUGAGGUAAUGGCGCACCAAGGCGACGAUCAGUAGCUGGUCUGAGAGGCUGAUCCGCCACAUUGGGACUGAGACACGGCCCAAACUCCUACGCGAGGCAGCAGUGGGGAAUCUUGCGCCAUGGGCGAAAGGCUGACGCAGCCCUGACGCGUGAAUGAUGAAGGUCUUAGGGUUGUAAAAUUCUUUCACCGGGGCCGAUAAUGACGGUACCCGGAGAAGAAGCCCCGGCUAACUUCGUG